AGGACCCACAAGCCUACCCCACGAUGAUGCUAAAGAAUCAGAUGCUGAGAGCCCAGGGCCUGGAGAGUGGACCCUUGGGGCUGGACAUGAUCAUGGAGCCACUCCUGAGCUGCAGAGAAAGAUAUGGCAAGUGGAAGACACUUUGGAUGAGCUGAAUGAGGAGUUCUUCCAGCUCUCUUCUCAAGCCCUGGAGCUCCAGAAAAAGGAGGAUGAGCCAGACCCACUGCCCCCAGGUGAAGGCAGAACGUCUAUGGUGGCUCCCAGCAUCUCCCCUUGUGAGUGGCAGGAAGAGAGACUUCACCCACUGGAGACAAAUGGCCCAGAUGGAGAGAAGCUGGGAACCUGGGCCCUGAAGAGCCACCAGGCCCUGGAGCUGGAGGUGAGGAGAGUCCACCUGGCUCAGAGGAUUGAAGACCUGGAGUGGGAGCUGUCCCUGCUCCUUCAGGUGGCCAACAGCAGUUCGAACAUGGGAGGGAGCUGGCCCAGCGGACACAGUGGGCUAAGGGGCACUGAGUCACAUCAGAUGCUGCAUGGUGGCCACCCCCAGGAGGUGCCUUCUGACCAAGAACAUGAACGGGUUCCCCUGGUAGGAAGGAGUGGCCAUCUUGGGCCCGGAGUAUGUGCUGGUUUUACGACACGCUCCUACAGGGAAACACCGGGAUUUCUUUCAGAGCCUGGACCUCAGCUUGUGCUAAAUUCUGCCUUUAACUUUCUGGGGUGAGGGAAAAUAAACUGACAUGGGUUGACAAAAUCAAUGUGUGCUCCUAUCAGAACUCGUGCCUCAGUUUUCUCCCUCAGGUGCAGGCCCUUGCUUCCCCCAGAGACUUCAGCUGGGGCACCUGGCUUGAGGGGUGAGGAGUGCUCGGGUGGGGGCCCUGAGAAUGUAGGUACGGCUGUUGCCCAUCCAUGCCCCGCUGCCAUCACGCCUCACUGCCGAGUCUCAAGGCCCCAACAUGACUUGUGGGGAGUCUAGGCAGCCAUGUCCCCUCCUGGCUCCAGCCAACCUCUUGGACACAGAGGAAGGUUCUGUCUGUGCCCUGGGCCUCCUGAGAACAUCAAAUGUCCCCAAACCGAAGGAAACUCUCUGAGAACAGCCAGAGCCAGACCAGUCAAAUUGGAGUUCCCUGACCCUGGACACCCACGGCCAUGCCCUCUGAGCCUUGCUCCAGCAGUUCCCGCCUCAGAAGGCCCCUCCUCCUGCUGCUGUGCCCAGGUGAGACGUGCUUCACCUCCAAGACCCAGACCAGAGGCCCCUCAAUCCACAGAGCUUUUUCCCAACCCUUCCCAGAUUUCUACCCCUGUGUCUCCACCACAUGUCUGACUCCUACCAUGGUCAUCUGUGGCCUGGAUGGCCCUGUCUUCCAGUCAGAGCUCCUCAAAGCAGGCUGUGUGUCUCAUUCACUUUGGUGUCCCUCUCUCUCACACACACAGACACGCUCACACACAGUCAUGCACACACACACUACACACACAUGCACAUAUAGACACGAACCGACAUUCAGGCAUACGCAUAGACACAAUCACAAACAGGCAUGCACACUCUAACAGACACAUGCACAUAGACCCUGAAAACACUGCAUUGCAGGUACAGGGCAAUAAGUGACCCAGGAAGGCUUAAAGAAUGUAAUCGACUGUAAGGACAUAGCUUCUCACCAAAGAGCAUGCAGUCAUGUUGGGAUGCCACACAAGCACACGGGAAACCAUACAGAAAAUGCUACAAAACCAAGUGCCAAACCCCAUGGGCAAGCUAGAGUGGAAGGAUGAACUUGGAGGCCAGAACCCUUAGGGACAGCUUCCAGGUGGUACUGACUGAACUGUCAGGUGGCUAGAAUUUAGACUCCAGAAAGGGGCACAGAGAUGAUUGCACUUCAGGUUGGUUAGGUGUCUGGAGGGAGAAAAACAUGCAAGGUAUUGACUAAGAAGAGUUAGGGUGCAUCCCUUGAGGAUGAGGAAACAUAGUAGAAAGUAGAGUAGGGACAGUGUCCCGAGUCUCCCUCAGCUGCUCAAGUGGUCGUCUGCGUGACCUUCACCACUUCAUAAAGGCACUCUGAGUGACUGUUCUCUGACUGAAGCCACCAUUGCUCUGGGGGUGUGAGAAGCUACACACAGCCCCAAAACCCGAGGCCUGGCAACGAGCUUGGACCAGGAGAUCUGCCAACUUUCCACUGGCCUGUGGGGCUCAGGAAGGCUAAAAUGAGAAGUGCAUGGCUGUGCAGAAAGCUUGGUCUCCACUAUUCAGAGAGGAUCAAGGAAGUAGAAACCAGAGGGGAUUUGAGUGGAAGACUCCUGAUACUACCUAGACUCAUAAGCUGAUGGUGCCCCUGUGCCUCGAAACAGACAGUAAGAACUCUGUGCUCUCUUAGAGCAGAAACUCAACUGUAACCAGAUGACCAAGGGAAGAAAUGGUCCUGGCACCCAGAGUCUAGUGCACAGCUGUGUCUCCCAGGAAACAAAAGGAAAAGCACUUGGGGCAUCUCCGUGUGCUGGA